ACACCAAAUAUCAUCCACCUCACUCAAACUUCACCUCACCUGCCAUCAGGAAAUCAGGCCCAUCCAGCUGCCAGAGACUUACAUAGCAACUCACAUGAAUCGGCUUAUGCCAUGCAGGCAGCUGUACAGUUCAUGGGAUUGGCAGCCUGGCUGGAUGCACCUGAGCUCAUCAGAAGUCAUGUAGGCUGCCCAACCAACCUAUACUCCUUCAGACCUCAAGAGAUUAAGAUUUCUGCCCUGUGAUGAUAUCAAAAGUCAAAAAAAGACAGAAAAAAACAAACAUGGAGCCACGUGUCACAUGCUCCACCCUUGCACACAGGACAGCUUAACCCAAGCAGCUGCCAAUGAUCUACUGAAUCUGUCACCCCACUCAAAUGCCAAAACAGCUAUUCAGAAUGUUCCACUGAUGCAAUGACUAUCAAAGGUCUCAGAGAAGAAAACAGAUGCCAUGAGGGUGAUGUCCCCGUGUAGCUCUACGGCAAAAACUGGGCCACAUUAAAAGUAUAAUCUUAGUCACAACAAAAAAACUUUCAACUGGACUGAAGUUCCCCAAUUAUAUUUUUUCUUUAUAAUUGGGACAAGUGAUUGUGUAUACCAUGUAUACAAAUGUUGUACACACAAUACAUAGUUAAUUCAGUUUACAAAAAAGAAGGCAUAAAUACAGGUAAAUACACGGAAACGUGGAUUUGAGAAAACUCAGCCUCUAAAAUAAUCAACAUAACAACAAGCUAAAUAAAAUGCAUUUAAAUGCUGCUUGUAAAUACAAUCCCUGGGAAAAUCUGCACCCAGGUAGAAUGUCUUUAUUCCGGCUACUAUGUGCAUUG